AGGCUGGGGGUGUUGGGUUUUCUUAGCGACGGUACAAGGAAGCUGCCGGGCAACUACGGAGCUCUGGACCAGGUGGCCGCUCUGAAGUGGGUCCAGCGACACAUCAGUUCCUUUGGAGGCGACGCUCGGCAAGUCACCCUGGGAGGCUUCUCAGCAGGAGCUUCUUUCGUCCACCUUCAUCUUCUGUCCCCGCUCUC
rnacentral:lncRNA from 1 species